CAAAUCUUAGCGGUGGAUCACUUGGUUCGUGGAUCGAUGAAGAACGCAGCUAGCUGCGAUAAAUAGUGCGAAUUGCAGACACAUUGAGCACUAAAAUUUCGAACGCACAUUGCGCCAUCGGGUUCAUUCCCGUUGGCACGUCUGGCUGAGGGUUGAA
rnacentral:rRNA from 1 species